rnacentral:lncRNA from 1 species
CUCAAAUGAAGAGGUUAGGAGCAACGACUUUGAAAUGGCAGCCUUAGCAGGAGAAGACUCUGUAGUCCCAAGUUCAAUCAACUUUCGAUCAGAAAAUAGAAUCCAGCCAAGAGAGCUGUGUCAGGAAGAAGAGACUUUCAAGGAACUUCAGGAAAAAGACUGCCAUGAGGUAAACAGACCUCCAUGACCACGUGCUCCCACCACGAUGUGCUGCCUUACCACAGACCCAUGGCAAUAGGGCCAAGUGACCAUGGACUGAAACCUCUGAAACCAUGAGCC